rnacentral:rRNA from 1 species
GAUGAACGCUGGCGGCGUGCCUAAUACAUGCAAGUCGAGCGAACAGACGAGGAGCUUGCUCCUCUGACGUUAGCGGCGGACGGGUGAGUAACACGUGGAUAACCUACCUAUAAGACUGGGAUAACUUCGGGAAACCGGAGCUAAUACCGGAUAAUAUAUUGAACCGCAUGGUUCAAUAGUGAAAGACGGUUUUGCUGUCACUUAUAGAUGGAUCCGCGCCGCAUUAGCUAGUUGGUAAGGUAACGGCUUACCAAGGCAACGAUGCGUAGCCGACCUGAGAGGGUGAUCGGCUACACUGGAACUGAGACACGGUCCAGACUCCUACGGGAGGCAGCAGUAGGGAAUCUUCCGCAAUGGGCGAAAGCCUGACGGAGCAACGCCGCGUGAGUGAUAAAGGUCUUCGGAUCGUAAAACUCUGUUAUUAGGGAAGAACAAAUGUGUAAGUAACUAUGCACGUCUUGACGGUACCUAAUCAGAAAGCCACGGCUAACUACGUG